AUGCAAUGCAUUCUUUUUUUCCUUGGGAUGAUUUUUCUCGGAAGUAACUUGGCCAAUAAUGACAUUUUUAUAUGCUGCAACCUAGAAGAAACAACCACCAAUGGACAGGAAUUCGUCACAUUAACUGGUCUAUCUCUUUCAGUCCAUGCCGACGAAGCAAUACAGAAGCAUCCUCCUGCUUACAUGCAUCUGGAGCAAAGCAUGAAGCACAAGCUUCUCAAGGAUAAGCUGACACCUAAUAAGGAUGAGAACAACGGAGAUGCUAAGAGGCAACCUUUCGGGGUUAAGGAUAUAAACAACAACAUGGCUUUUGGAUCUUGA
rnacentral:rRNA from 1 species